UACGUAGGGCGCGAGCGUUGUCCGGAAUUAUUGGGCGUAAAGAGCUCGUAGGCGGUCUGUCGCGUCGGAUGUGAAAGCCCGGGGCUUAACCCCGGGUCUGCAUUCGAUACGGGCAGACUAGAGUGUGGUAGGGGAGAUCGGAAUUCCUGGUGUAGCGGUGAAAUGCGCAGAUAUCAGGAGGAACACCGGUGGCGAAGGCGGAUCUCUGGGCCAUUACUGACGCUGAGGAGCGAAAGCGUGGGGAGCGAACAGGAUUAGAUACCCCCGUAGUCC
rnacentral:rRNA from 1 species